GGGAGAGGUUACAAACCGAAGAUGGCAUCCCUCAGGCCUGCCGUGAAUCUGGGUUUCCCCUUUGUGGAUAUUCCCCACUGCUGACUCCCGUAUCCCGCUGACCGUGUCUCACUCCUCGUAUGGCCGGUCGCCCUCUCAGGCCGGCUACCCGUCGUCGCCUUGGUAUGGCAUUACCCCACCAACAAGCUGAUAGGCCGCGGCUCAUCCUUCACCGCCGGAGCUUUUAACCCCGUCCCAUGCGGCCUACAGUGUUAUCCGGUAUUAGACCCCGUUUCCAGGCCUUGUCCCAGAGUGAAGACCAGAUUGCCGCGUGUUACUCACCCGUUCGCCACUCACCCUCCGCGAAAGAUUCAUCGAUCGACUUGCAUGUGUUAAGCACGCCGCCAGCAUUCGUCCUGAGCAACGUUAAAAACUCUAACGUCUCUUAGGCUUUUCCGGGAAUAUUUAAGCCUUAGGAAGCGUCUUCGGGUUUGCCACGAAUUAAGCCAAAAUGCUCGGCUUUAUUGCCCGGGCCUCCAUUCAAUUACUGUGUAGUUUUAGCCUUGCGGGCGUACUCCCCAAUCUCGUGAAGUUGAUGCGUUAAGGGCCGGAACCACGACGUACAACGGCGCCAACAGCCUAGUUCCCUACGCUUACCGUGGGGCACUACCAGGGUAUCUGAUCCGUGUUCGCUCCCCUAGCUUUCGCUCCUGAGCGCCGGGGAUUACCCCAGGAGACCAGCCUUCCGCACCCGUUUUUCCUCCCUGAGAUCUGCCCCCUUUUCACCGCUACGAUCCGCCGAUUCCGGAUCUUCCCCUACCCAAGUUCUUAACUUGCCACGUUAUGAAAUGGGGGCCCGGGGUAUGAGGCCCCCGGCCUUUUCACAUUCCUACGGUGCCAAGGCGGCGUAGCAUUUUCUUGACGCUCUAAUAAGUCCCGGGAAAACCGCUUUGGCGCCCUAGCGCCUCUAACUCGUCGCCCGCUUGUAAGGUGUUUGGGCGGAGCCCUUUCGCUUCGUUCCGGGUUCCGGUAAAUGUGCGGGUUUCUAGCCCCCCCUGAAAGAGAGGCUAAACAUCCCGUAUGUGCGUGGCACCGCCUUCCCCCUUUUGGGCCGUUGAGUGUAGGACUUUACAGGGCAAAAUUUGGGCGAAAAAUAUCACCCCCACUGAAA
rnacentral:rRNA from 1 species